rnacentral:rRNA from 1 species
AUUGAACGCUGGCGGCAUGCCUUACGCAUGCAAGUCGAACGGUAACAGGUCUUCGGAUGCUGACGAGUGGCGAACGGGUGAGUAAUACAUCGGAACGUGCCUAGUAGUGGGGGAUAACUACUCGAAAGAGUGGCUAAUACCGCAUGAGAUCUACGGAUGAAAGCAGGGGAUCGCAAGACCUUGUGCUACUAGAGCGGCCGAUGGCAGAUUAGGUAGUUGGUGGGAUAAAAGCUUACCAAGCCGACGAUCUGUAGCUGGUCUGAGAGGACGAUCAGCCACACUGGGACUGAGACACGGCCCAGACUCCUACGGGAGGCAGCAGCGGGGAAUUUUGGACAAUGGGCGCAAGCCUGAUCCAGCAAUGCCGCGUGCAGGAUGAAGGCCUUCGGGUUGUAAACUGCUUUUGUACGGAACGAAAAGCCCUGGGUUAAUACCCUGGGGUCAUGACGGUACCGUAAGAAUAAGCACCGGCUAACUACGUGCCAGCCGCCGCAGUAACAC